GGGAGUAACUAUUGGAAACGAUAGCUAAUACCGCAUAAUAGCAGUUAUUGCAUGAUAACUGUUUGAAAGGUGCAAUUGCACCACUACCAGAUGGACCUGCGUUGUAUUAGCUAGUUGGUGGGUAACGGCUCACCAAGGCGACGAUACAUAGCCGACCUGAGAGGGUGAUCGGCCACACUGGGACUGAGACACGGCCCAG
rnacentral:rRNA from 1 species